CUCAUGUCUCACUUUACUCUUUAACCUUUAUGUUCAUUUAACAAGGCAUCCAGCAAUCUAAAGACCUCUCAAAAACGCACUGCUGCUCUCCAAGACAUGGCAAUUUCCAUGUGGUUUGUUCAUCUUUUUUUUUUUUUUUUUUGGACAGAGUCUUGCUCUGUUGCCCAGGCUGGAGUGCAAUGGUGCCAUCUUGGCUCACUGCAACCUCUGACUCCCGGGUUCAAGCCAUUCUCCUGCCUCAGCCUCCUGAGUAGCUGGGAUUACAGACAGGCAACCACUGACAAAAGCCAUGCCUGUAUUAGUGAAACUCCCAGAUAUUAAUAGGAGGAGAAGGCAGAAAAAAGAAGUGGGGAAAUAGAAAGGCCUCUACAGAUGGUGAUUUCAUACAGAAAGGUUACCGACUUGCUAAGAAAAAUUAUAUUUAAUUUUCCAACUAAUUUUUAACUGUCGAAAAGUGUGAAGAUUGAACAACACCUACAAUCCCGUUGAACUGGCCAAAAAGAAUGGGAUCUCUCCAGAACAAGUCAGUUCAACUCAGUAAAUACUUAUUGACUACCUGCCCUGUACCACUCAGUGUGCCAGAUGCUGAAGAUGAGGGAUCCUUGCGUGCAUAGAGUUUAUAAUCCAGGGAGCAUGCAGGAUAAGAGAACCACUGUUAUCAAUGGCAAUCAGUGCAAGUCUUCACUUGAUAAUGUAAGUCUAAGUUAAACAAUAUACUGAUGGACCUAGAGCAUGAUAAUUUCUCAAAUAAUACUUAUGUAAGAGUUGUCAUCUUCUGACUUUUUUUUUCUUGCAUCUAGGGAAAAGAAGAGAAUAAAGAAGAUUAUCAUUGCUACCUGCAUCUUACUGUAUUCUCAUAAUUUGUUGUGCUUGCUUAACAACCAGAUUCAAGUUCUUUCCUCAACAGCUCUCAUCUGUUCCCUCAAAGAAUAUGCCUUAGAUGCAUUUGAGACACCAUUUUGUGUCUGACUUCUGCAAUUUUGUAAGAUGCUGCCAUUAGAAGUUAAUAGAGCAGUGGUCUUUCAACAUUUUAGAUGGUAUACUCCUUCAGAAAAAAAAAAAAAGCAUUUUUGAGAAACAUCCCCAACAUAUGUUUGGUUGUUUUUUUAUUUCCUUGAAAAACAUAUGUAUGCCGGGCGCGGUGGCUCACGCCUGUAAUCCCAGCACUUUGGGAGGCUGAGGUGGGCAGAUCACGAGGUCAGGAGUUUGAGACCAGCCUGGCCAAUAUGGUGAAACCCCAUCUCUACUAUAAAUACAAAAAUUAGCCGGGCAUGGUGGCGCGUGCCUGUAGUCCCAGCUACUCAGGAGGCUGAGGCAGGAGAAUCACUUGAACCCGGGAGGUGGAGGUUGCAGUGAGCUGAAAUUGUGCCACUGUACUCUAGCCGGGGCAACAGAGUGAGACGCUGUUUCAAAAAAAAAAAAACAGAAAAACAUAUGUAUAUUUAUAUGUGUGUAUAUACACACACACACAUAUGCACACACAAAUAUAUAAAUUAAAUUUUUAAAUGAGAUAGAGUAAAAUGCAUUUUUGAAAUUAUUGAUUUAUUAACAAAACUAAAAGCCUUCCUUCUCACUAAAAAGUGUUGAAAAAUCCAUGAAUUAUGCAAGAUUGUUAUAACAUUUGGCUAUCAUAAUCUUAUUCUUGAUAUCAAUCAGUUUUUAAAGUAAUGAGAAGCUGCUGCAUUUUUAUAUUUUUUAACAAAUGGAUUUAAAAUCCACUGAACUGCUCAAUUAAAAGAUUGAAACAAAAUAGCAAAUUGUUUCCGAGUUUUUAAAAGCAUUUUCUGUGAUGACAAUCAUAAAAUCUUCAGUAAGAAAAACACACAAUAAUGGGAACACUUCGAAAUAUUUGUUUUCAAAUCGUCUCUUCAUAACAACGUAUCACUUGGUGUGAAAAUUACCUUGAAGAAACAACAAAUAAACCUCUGGGGUUUUUUGUUCUUCAAAAAGAUCUAUUAGAUAACAUGUACUGAGAGCCAUAUAUCAAUACAGAAAAGAUCAGCAAAUUUAGGAUAUUUGGGGUUUUUUUGUAAAAAUAAAGAAAAUAACUCACUUUAAGACAACUUUUAAAAUCUUUGUUACAAA
rnacentral:lncRNA from 1 species